AAAUCCAACAAUUUCUGAGAAGAGUUCAUUACAUUUGCACCCUUUCGUUCGAAAAAAAAAAUCACUGUUUUCUGCUUCCUAGUUGUCUUCUUCUAGUCUAUUCUAAUUUCUCGAUGACCUUCAACACUAGAACGUGUGCCUUGAGUUGUUCUUAGGCCUUCACUACUUGAACCGGAAGGAUGGGGGCCAAAUUCACUGGUAGGCCCGCUGCAUUCACUAGAAUUAUGUGCCUGGCUUUCCAGAGCCAUCUUUCUAAAUUUCUUAAGGUCUUCUUUGUACUGAACAGCAUCAAAAUCCGAGCUUCCGUAAGAUUCAUGUAUACCACUAUGUCCAGGUCUAAGUCCAUUUAACUCAUCCAACGGCAAAUUUCCUUCUAAAGCUCUGACAAUCUGACUCAUACGAGGCCUGCGACGUGCUAGAUGGCGCACACACACAGCAGCACAAGUGACCAUUCUGGUCAUUUCAGUCAAGUCAUAAUUCUUGUCCAAUCUUGGAUCAGCCAGAGUAUCAAAGUUGCCAUCAUCCAGAGCCUGGGUAAGCAAAGGCCUCGCCCAAUCAACAAUGUUAUCGUCAAGGUAGGGUUGAGCUUUAUCAAUCGGCCGUCUUCCAGUUAUAAUCUCCAAAAGCAUGACUCCAAAAGAAAAGACAUCAGAUCUGUCUGUAAGUUUGCCAGAGGACGCAUACUCUGGUGCCAUAUAUCCGAAAGUACCCAUAACUCUAGUGGAAACGUGGGUGUUGUUAUCGGAAGCAAACUUUGCAAGCCCAAAAUCUG
rnacentral:misc_RNA from 1 species